GAUGAACGCUGGCGGCGUGCCUAAUACAUGCAAGUCGAGCGAACGGACGAGAAGCUUGCUUCUCUGAUGUUAGCGGCGGACGGGUGAGUAACACGUGGAUAACCUACCUAUAAGACUGGGAUAACUUCGGGAAACCGGUGCUAAUACCGGAUAAUAUUUUGAACCGCAUGGUUCAAAAGUGAAAGACGGUCUUGCUGUCACUUAUAGAUGGAUCCGCGCUGCAUUAGCUAGUUGGUAAGGUAACGGCUUACCAAGGCAACGAUGCAUAGCCGACCUGAGAGGGUGAUCGGCCACACUGGAACUGAGACACGGUCCAGACUCCUACGGGAGGCAGCAGUAGGGAAUCUUCCGCAAUGGGCGGAAGCCUGACGGAGCAACGCCGCGUGAGUGAUGAAGGUCUUCGGAUCGUAAAACUCUGUUAUUAGGGAAGAACAUAUGUGUAAGUAACUGUGCACAUCUUGACGGUACCUAAUCAGAAAGCCACGGCUAACUACGUG
rnacentral:rRNA from 1 species